rnacentral:rRNA from 1 species
GGGGGAUAUUGCACAAUGGGGGAAACCCUGAUGCAGCGACGCCGCGUGAGGGAAGACGGUCUUCUGGAUUGUAAACCUCUGUCUUCGGGGACGAUAAUGACGGUACCCGAGGAGGAAGCCACGGCUAACUACGUGCCAGCAGCCGCGGUAAUACGUAGGUGGCAAGCGUUGUCCGGAAUUACUGGGUGUAAAGGGAGCGUAGGCGGGAAUGCAAGUUGAAUGUUUAAUCUAUGGGCUCAACCCAUAUCAGCGUUCAAAACUGUGUUUCUUGAGUGAAGUAGAGGCAGGCGGAAUUCCUAGUGUAGCGGUGAAAUGCGUAGAUAUUAGGAGGAACACCAGUGGCGAAGGCGGCCUGCUGGGCUUUUACUGACGCUGAUGCUCGAAAGUGCGGGGAGCAAAC